rnacentral:rRNA from 1 species
CUCUGACGUUAGCGGCGGACGGGUGAGUAACACGUGGAUAACCUACCUAUAAGACUGGGAUAACUUCGGGAAACCGGAGCUAAUACCGGAUAAUAUAUUGAACCGCAUGGUUCAAUAGUGAAAGACGGUUUUGCUGUCACUUAUAGAUGGAUCCGCGCCGCAUUAGCUAGUUGGUAAGGUAACGGCUUACCAAGGCAACGAUGCGUAGCCGACCUGAGAGGGUGAUCGGCCACACUGGAACUGAGACACGGUCCAGACUCCUACGGGAGGCAGCAGUAGGGAAUCUUCCGCAAUGGGCGAAAGCCUGACGGAGCAACGCCGCGUGAGUGAUGAAGGUCUUCGGAUCGUAAAACUCUGUUAUUAGGGAAGAACAAAUGUGUAAGUAACUAUGCACGUCUUGACGGUACCUAAUCAGAAAGCCACGGCUAACUACGUGCCAGCAGCCGCGGUAAUACGUAGGUGGCAAGCGUUAUCUGGAAUUAUUGGGCGUAAAGCGCGCGUAUGUGGUUUUUUAAGUCUGAUGUGAAAGCCCACGGCUCAACCGUG